rnacentral:pre_miRNA from 1 species
UCAAAUCAAAUUUGUAUGGAUUUGGAACGUUUGUCUACGUUUGCCGCUAGGGGCGCUGUUCCAACUGCAUACAAAUUUGAGUUA